AUGCUCACUUCAAUAGCACAUGUACUAAAAUUGGAAUGGUACAGAGAAGGUUAGUAUUGUCCCUGCAUAAGGAUGGGUCUCACGUGUGAGACAGUGCAAGGUUUG